rnacentral:rRNA from 1 species
AGAGUUUGAUCCUGGCUCAGGAUGAACGCUGGCGGCGUGCUUAACACAUGCAAGUCGAACGAACCUUCGGGUUAGUGGCGGACGGGUGAGUAACGCGUGAGAAUCUGCCCUCAGGAGGGGGAUAACGGCUGGAAACGGCCGCUAAUACCCCAUAUGCCGAGAGGUGAAACGAGUUUUCGCCUGAGGAUGAGCUCGCGUCUGAUUAGCUAGUUGGUGGGGUAAGAGCCUACCAAGGCAUCGAUCAGUAGCUGGUCUGAGAGGAUGAUCAGCCACACUGGGACUGAGACACGGCCCAGACUCCUACGGGAGGCAGCAGUGGGGAAUUUUCCGCAAUGGGCGAAAGCCUGACGGAGCAACGCCGCGUGAGGGAUGAAGGCCUCUGGGCUGUAAACCUCUUUUAUCAAGGAAGAAGAUCUGACGGUACUUGAUGAAUAAGCCACGGCUAAUUCCGUGCCAGCAGCCGCGGUAAUACGGGAGUGGCAAGCGUUAUCCGGAAUUAUUGGGCGUAAAGCGUCCGCAGGCGGCCUGAUAAGUCUGUUGUCAAAGCGUGGAGCUCAACUCCAUUUCGGCAAUGGAAACUGUGAGGCUUGAGUGUGGUAGGGGCAGAGGGAAUUCCCGGUGUAGCGGUGAAAUGCGUAGAUAUCGGGAAGAACACCAGUGGCGAGGGCGCUCUGCUGGGCCAUAACUGACGCUCAUGGACGAAAGCCAGGGGAGCGAAAGGGAUUAGAUACCCCUGUAGUCCUGGCCGUAAACGAUGAACACUAGGUGUCGGGGGAAUCGACCCCCUCGGUGUCGUAGCCAACGCGUUAAGUGUUCCGCCUGGGGAGUACGCACGCAAGUGUGAAACUCAAAGGAAUUGACGGGGGCCCGCACAAGCGGUGGAGUAUGUGGUUUAAUUCGAUGCAACGCGAAGAACCUUACCAGGGUUUGACAUCCUGCGAAUCCCUUGGAAACGAGGGAGUGCCUUCGGGAGCGCAGAGACAGGUGGUGCAUGGCUGUCGUCAGCUCGUGUCGUGAGAUGUUGGGUUAAGUCCCGCAACGAGCGCAACCCACGUCUUUAGUUGCCAGCAUUGAGUUGGGCACUCUAGAGAGACCGCCGGUGAUAAACCGGAGGAAGGUGUGGAUGACGUCAAGUCAUCAUGCCCCUUACAUCCUGGGCUACACACGUACUACAAUGCUACGGACAAAGGGCAGUAAACUCGCGAGAGCUAGCAAAUCCCAUAAACCGUGGCUCAGUUCAGAUCGUAGGCUGCAACUCGCCUACGUGAAGGAGGAAUCGCUAGUAAUCGCAGGUCAGCAUACUGCGGUGAAUACGUUCCCGGGCCUUGUACACACCGCCCGUCACACCAUGGAAGUUGGCCACGCCCGAAGCCGUUACUCCAACCCUUGUGGAGGAGGACGUCGAAGGAGGGGCUGAUGACUGGGGUGAAGUC